AGAUGUGAUCAAGAGAAAUGGCAUUGUUGUUGAUGGGAAACUUUUGCAAGUUAAAUUUAAAGUGAUUAUUGACUAUAAAGCAUUUUGCCUGUUGCUGUGCAAGAAAGAUGAUGAAAACUUUCGACUUGGUAGCAAAGGAUUUGGUGAAUUCUGCAUGUUUUGUCAUGCACUAAGGCUUCACAGGGAUUAGAGAUGACCUCACCCUUUUAUUGGACGAAAACAUGACAGCUGUUAAUAUUUGUGCAUUACACUGUGAACUAUGAAAUAUGGAACAGCUUCUUGCUUCCCUUGGUUUAUUCUGUCACAAGAUUGGUUCAUUAGCUGAGUGCAAUGCUGCCCUUAAAGAAUAUGGUCCUCAAACCAUGAAAAAAUGAAAUGUGUUUAUACAAAUGAUGCAAUUUAUAGCAAAUAUAUAUAGGCAUCUUAGAAUGUACAUAUGUAAAUACCAUUGGUACUUUAAAAUAAUAUUUUCAGGUAACUUUUUCAAAGCCUAAGUUUAAUAUCUGAUAAAUAUUUGUCAUUGAAAAUUGUCAUGAUACUGUUGUCCUAAGUGCUGUUUGGCAACAGAAACACUUGGGUGACACGCCUGUGAUUCUGUGAUACAGAUUUCAUGACAUGCUUCCAUGAAAUAAUAUUUUCAGGUUUUUCAAAGCCUAAGUUUAAUAUCUGAUAAAUAUUUGUCAUUGAAAAUUGUCAUGAUACUGUUGUCCUAAGUG